UCCGUCAAAUUCCUUUAAGUUUCUGUCUGUUGCCGCCCCCGCCCGCCUACGGGAGGCAGCAGUGGGGAAUUUUCCGCAAUGGGCGCAAGCCUGACGGAGCAAGACCGCGUGGGGGAGGAAGGCUCUUGGGUUGUAAACCCCUUUUCUCUGGGAAGAACAAAAUGACGGUACCAGAGGAAUCAGCAUCGGCUAACUCCGUGCCAGCAGCCGCGGUAAGACGGAGGAUGCAAGCGUUAUCCGGAAUGAUUGGGCGUAAAGCGUCCGCAGGUGGCAGCUCAAGUCUGCUGUCAAAGACCGGGGCUUACCUUCGGACAGGCAGUGGAAACUGAACAGCUAGAGUAUCGUAGGGGCAAACUGAAUUCCCAGUCUAGCGGUGAAAUGCGUAGAGAUCAGGAAGAACAUCGGUUGCGAAAGCGCUUUGCUGGGUCAUAACUGACACUCAGGGAGGAAAGGUAGGGGAGCGAAUCGGAAUUGAUACCCCAGUUGUCCUAGCCGUAAACGAUGGAUAUUUGGUGUUGUCUGUAUCGACCCGGACAGUGCCGUAGCUAACGCGAUAAGCACCGCCGCCCUGA
rnacentral:rRNA from 1 species